rnacentral:sRNA from 1 species
UAAGUUUAAACUCAGCGCCGCAGUAUUAUUUGUAUCGAUAGCUUUGGUAUUUAAGUUUAGAUUAUCUGGUCCCACGAAAAAAAGUGUAACAAGAGGGAAACAAUUUGGCGGAAUUAGACCGAUUUGCGCCAUCACGAUAAGAGGGAAGAGAAACUGCGAAUAAAACCAUCAACAAACACAGAACUCCAACUGUUGUCCAGCACUAGUGUUUAAAGUGUUUAAAGGCAUUCCCUGUGAUCGGCCAAGCGGCGACAGAACCCAAACAACAUUUUUGGACACCCUGACGCAGUGAGAUGGAAAAUAUGGAAAAAAUGGACGGAGUAAGAUGGCAAGACUCUUUUGUGUCUGCUUCUCCAAGAAUUUCAAGCAUUCGAGAAAACAGCAAGAAAUUAUUGCAAGAACUUCUAAAUAGCUGCAUUAUUGAAAGUGAAGUUUGUUUCCAAGGUUCUUCAAAAGCCAAAACAAAUCAAAGCUCUGAUUGCGAAGUUUCCGAAAAUGCAUACUAUCACUCGUCCAUUGUCCACCAAAAAAAAUUGUACUGUAAACUUCCAAAAUGAAGUUUUGCAACAUUGCCAACAGACCAAGCCAACUUCAUUCGACUUUGAAUAUGCUGAAUGUAAUAUGGUCAAUACUGAAAAGAUUGGAGGAGUGUAUGGUCUUUAGAUAUACCCCAAGUCAUGGAAAUCGCCAUAAUUUCAAAACAGAAGAUGUGGUUUUAAAAAUAAUACCGAUCGAGGGUUCCACUGAAAUCAACGGAGAAAUGCAAAAAACAUUUAAACAUAUUUUGCCUGAAAUAAUUAUUU